GGGAAAUCCUUUCUUCCAGAAAUCAGACAAGCCAGGGUUUCCAACACACCAGCAUCAAAGAUGAAGAAACAAACAGCAACGUCUCCCAAACUGAGAAGAAACAGUCCAAGAAGAGCCCGGCUGUUGGAGGAGGAAGAGGAAGAGGAAGAAGGACCGG